GACGUAGGGGACGAGCGUUGUCCGGAUUCAUUGGGCGUAAAGCGCGCGUAGGCGGUUCGGUAAGUCGGGUGUGAAAACACGAGGCUCAACCUCGUGCGUGCAUCCGAUACUGCCGGACUAGAGGUAGGUAGGGGAGAUCGGAAUUCCUGGUGUAGCGGUGAAAUGCGCAGAUAUCAGGAGGAACACCGGUGGCGAAGGCGGAUCUCUGGGCCUUACCUGACGCUCAGGCGCGAAAGCUAGGGAGCGAACAGG
rnacentral:rRNA from 1 species